rnacentral:tRNA from 1 species
GCGCCCGUAGCUCAACCGGAUAGAGCAUCUGCCUUCUAAGCAGAGGGUCGCAGGUUCGAGUCCUGCCGGGCGCGCCA